UACGGGGGUGCGAGCGUUGUCCGGAAUCACUGGGCGUAAAGGGCGCGUAGGUGGUUUGAUAAGGGUGUGGUGAAAGUCCGGGGCUCAACCCCGGAUCUGCCGUGCCGACUGUCAAACUCGAGGACUGUAGAGGCAGACGGAAUUCCGGGUGUAGCGGUGGAAUGCGUAGAGAUCCGGAAGAACACCAGUGGCGAAGGCGGCUCACUGGCCCGAUACUGACGCUGAGGCACGAAAGCGUGGGGAGCAAACAGG
rnacentral:rRNA from 1 species